UGAGGAAUAUUGGUCAAUGGGCGAGAGCCUGAACCAGCCAAGUCGCGUGAAGGAAGACAGUCCUAAGGAUUGUAAACUUCUUUUAUACGGGAAUAACGGGCGAUACGAGUAUUGCAUUGAAUGUACCGUAAGAAUAAGCAUCGGCUAACUCCGUGCCAGCAGCCGCGGUAAUACGGAGGAUGCGAGCGUUAUCCGGAUUUAUUGGGUUUAAAGGGUGCGUAGGUUGUUCGGUAAGUCAGCGGUGAAACCUGAGCGCUCAACGUUCAGCCUGCCGUUGAAACUGCCGGGCUUGAGUUCAGUGGCGGCAGGCGGAAUUCGUGGUGUAGCGGUGGAAUGCAUAGAUAUCACGAGGAACUCCGAUUGCGAAGGCAGCUUGCCAUACUGCGACUGACACUGAAGCACGAAGGCGUGGGUAUCAAACAGGAUUAGAUACCCUGGUAGUCCACGCAGUAAACGAUGAUUACUAGGAGUUUGCGAUAUACCGUCAAGCUUCCACAGCGAAAGCGUUAAGUAAUCCACCUGGGGAGUACGCCGGCAGGCGGUG
rnacentral:rRNA from 1 species